CCUACGGGUGGCAGCAGUGAGGAAUAUUGGUCAAUGGACGAGAGUCUGAACCAGCCAAGUAGCGUGAAGGAUGACUGCCCUAUGGGUUGUAAACUUCUUUUAUAUGGGAAUAAAAUGUUCCACGUGUGGGAUUUUGUAUGUACCAUAUGAAUAAGGAUCGGCUAACUCCGUGCCAGCAGCCGCGGUAAUAAGGAGGAUCCGAGCGUUGUCAGGAAUUAUUGGGUUUAAAGGGAGCGUAGGUGGAUUGUUAAGUCAGUUGUGAAAGUUUGCGGCUCAACCGUAAAAUUGCAGUUGAAACUGGCAGUCUUGAGUACAGUAGAGGUGGGCGGAAUUCGUGGUGUAGCGGUGAAAUGCUUAGAUAUCACGAAGAACUCCGAUUGCGAAGGCAGUUCACUGGACUGCAACUGACACUGAGGCUCGAAAGUGUGGGUAUCAAACAGGAUUAGAUACCCCUGUAGUC
rnacentral:rRNA from 1 species